AGAACGAACGCUGGCGGCAGGCCUAACACAUGCAAGUCGAACGCUCACCGGGCUUCGGUUCGGUGGGAGUGGCGCACGGGUGAGUAGCGCGUGGGAACCUGCCCUGUUGUGGGGGAUAACCGAGGGAAACUUCGGCUAAUACCGCAUGCGCCCGGGGAAACCCGGGGAAAGAUUUAUCGCAGCAGGAGGGGCCCGCGUCGGAUUAGGUAGUUGGUAGGGUAACGGCCUACCAAGCCUUUGAUCCGUAGCUGGUCUGAGAGGAUGAUCAGCCACACUGGGACUGAGACACGGCCCAGACUCCUACGGGAGGCAGCAGUGGGGAAUAUUGGACAAUGGGCGCAAGCCUGAUCCAGCAAUGCGCGUGAGUGAUGAAGGCCUUAGGGUUGUAAAGCUCUUUCGCCGCGACGAUGAUGACGGUAGCGGGAGAAGAAGCCCCGGCUAACUUCGUGCCGAGCAGCCG
rnacentral:rRNA from 1 species